rnacentral:rRNA from 1 species
AGAUUGCUGGCGACCGGCGCACGGGUGAGUAACACGUAUCCAACCUCCCUAUAACUCGGGGAUAGCCUUUCGAAAGAAAGAUUAAUACCCUAUGGCAUAAUUAGACCGCAUGGUCUUAUUAUUAAAGAAUUUCGGUUAUCGAUGGGGAUGCGUUCCAUUAGGCAGUUGGUGAGGUAACGGCUCACCAAACCUUCGAUGGAUAGGGGUUCUGAGAGGAAGGUCCCCCACAUUGGAACUGAGACACGGUCCAAACUCCUACGGGAGGCAGCAGUGAGGAAUAUUGGUCAAUGGGCGCGAGCCUGAACCAGCCAAGUAGCGUGAAGGAUGACUGCCCUAUGGGUUGUAAACUUCUUUUAUAUGGGAAUAAAGUUUUCCACGUGUGGAAUUUUGUAUGUACCAUAUGAAUAAGGAUCGGCUAACUCCGUGCCAGCAGCCGCGGUAAUACGGAGGAUCCGAGCGUUAUCCGGAUUUAUUGGGUUUAAAGGGAGCGUAGGUGGAUAGUUAAGUCAGUUGUGAAAGUUUGCGGCUCAACCGUAAAAUUGCAGUUGAUACUGGCUGUCUUGAGUACAGUAGAGGUGGGCGGAAUUCGUGGUGUAGCGGUGAAAUGCUUAGAUAUCACGAAGAACUCCGAUUG